GACGUCGAAUAUCGACGUCAUAAACACCAAAGUUGAUCGUGUUUAUCACGUCGACGUCAUAAACACCAAAAUUGAUCGUGUUUAUGACGUCGAAUAUCGACGAACUUUAUAAAAAAACUUUAUCAUUUUCCAACCAAAGUCACGGGUUUAUGAUGUCGAAUAUCGACGUCAUAAAGUUUAUGAUGUCGAAUAUCGACGUCAUAAACACCAAAGUUAAUCGUGUUUAUGACGCCGAAUAUAGACGUCAUAAACACCUAAGUUGAUCGUGUUUACGACGUCGAAUAUCGACGUC
rnacentral:miRNA from 1 species